rnacentral:rRNA from 1 species
UACAGAGGGUGCGAGCGUUAAUCGGAAUUACUGGGCGUAAAGCGUGCGCAGGCGGUUGUGCAAGACAGAUGUGAAAUCCCCGGGCUUAACCUGGGAAUUGCAUUUGUGACUGCACGGCUAGAGUGUGGCAGAGGGGGGUAGAAUUCCACGUGUAGCAGUGAAAUGCGUAGAUAUGUGGAGGAAUACCGAUGGCGAAGGCAGCCCCCUGGGAUAACACUGACGCUCAUGCACGAAAGCGUGGGGAGCAAACAGG